rnacentral:snRNA from 1 species
AAAUAUGAGGGCAAUCUGAUUGAGACAUCCAUCCAUCAUCUCACUGACGGCCAGGGUUGACUCAGUUGAUGUGGCUGGCUAGGUGAGUGUCUGCUUCCUCCCUCACCACUCCACAUGCAUCCUUCCCAAAGCUGAAGAGGACAACCUUCCCUAUAGAUACAGACUCGUCUUCAGUCAAGGGUAUGUAAGUAGCUGUGCUCCCCUGCUAGAGCCUCUGAACAGCCUGUCAAGAAUAUGACGUGCGCUGGUGCUGCUCUGAUGCUCUUCUUGCUCCUUCUCCACAAUGUUUCCUGGG